rnacentral:lncRNA from 1 species
UUUCUCUCUGAUUCUUCCCUCUUCUCCCCUCUGCAGUGUCGCCAGAACACCUUCCCACACUCUAUUCUUUGUGGCCCUUCUGACUUUCUCUUUGCCGUGUGACAGGGGAGUCCUCCCUAACCAGCAGACAGUGAAGGUGGAGUCCACGUUUCUUGGCCUCCACGCAUAGCGAGUCUCAGACCCCGCAAGGCUGCAGACAGUGCUGUGAAUACCUGUAACUUCUUUCCUUGGACCCAAGAUUUAGGACAUGAGAAGAAUCUGGAAGAAGCUGAGCCCACAAGGGUCCCACGAGGGCAUUCUACCUGCCCACUGACCGUCUCAGCAUGCUACACGCUCGAGGGAACUCAGGUUCCCUGUCUGUAAAAUGCAGAUUCUCUCCCAUGAAAUCUCUGAGUUUGAGCCCCAGCGGAGGUCCAAGGGAGCAGGUGGACAGGAGGCAGGGAGCUGGAAGAAUACUCAAGAGACAGCAGCUGCCAACUGCUAAGGUAUGCAGUCCCCUCUAGGCCCAGGUCACGGAGCCUGUGCUUCACCUGCUGGUGUCUCCCCUCACCCAGCCUCCAGACCCCACUAAUAUGCUUGAGUUUUCGGAAGCUGGAAGAAACAAGGCAUGGAUUCUCCUCUAGAACCAUGGGGACUGUGCAGCCCUGCCAACACCUUGAUCACAGACUUCUGGCCUCCAGGCUAUGAUAGGAUAAACUUCUGCUAAGGCACCCAGUUUGUGAUCAUUUGUCACAGUAGACUUGGAAAACGAAUACAC